CCUACGGGAGGCAGCAGUGGGGAAUAUUGCACAAUGGGCGCAAGCCUGAUGCAGCCAUGCCGCGUGUGUGAAGAAGGCCUUCGGGUUGUAAAGCACUUUCAGUCGUGAGGAAGGGUUAGUAGUUAAUACCUGCUAGCUUUGACGUUAGCGACAGAAGAAGCACCGGCUAACUCCGUGCCAGCAGCCGCGGUAAUACGGAGGGUGCGAGCGUUAAUCGGAAUUACUGGGCGUAAAGCGUACGCAGGCGGUUAGUUAAGUCAGAUGUGAAAGCCCCGGGCUCAACCUGGGAACUGCAUUUGAAACUGGCUAACUAGAGUGCGGCAGAGGGUGGUAGAAUUUCAGGUGUAGCGGUGAAAUGCGUAGAGAUCUGAAGGAAUACCGAUGGCGAAGGCAGCCACCUGGGCCGACACUGACGCUCAUGUACGAAAGCGUGGGUAGCAAACAGGAUUAGAUACCCUGGUAGUCCACGCCGUAAACGAUGUCUACUAGCAGCUCGCCUCGUUAGAGGGGUUUUGCGCAGCUAACGCGUUAAGUAGACCGCCUGGGGAGUACGGCCGCAAGGUUAAAACUCAAAUGAAUUGACGG
rnacentral:rRNA from 1 species